UUUGGGUUUUGUGUAUGGUGUUUGCAACAAUAACCAAUUUAACUUUUUUUUUUUAAAUUUUCCAUUGUCUCAUAACUAUAAGUCAAUUUUCAUAACCCAACAUUUUGUUUUUAAGUAUUCAAAAACCAAACUUGAAUUGCAGCCAAUAAACUUGAUCAAUUUUGUGAGUAACCCAGAUCUGGAAUUUGCUUCGAUUUGAUCCAU
rnacentral:lncRNA from 1 species